AGUGAACGCUGGCGGUAGGCCUAACACAUGCAAGUCGAACGGCAGCACAGGAGAGCUUGCUCUCUGGGUGGCGAGUGGCGGACGGGUGAGGAAUACAUCGGAAUCUACCUUUUCGUGGGGGAUAACGUAGGGAAACUUACGCUAAUACCGCAUACGUCCUACGGGUGAAAGUGGGGGACCGCAAGGCCUCACGCGAUUAGAUGAGCCGAUGUCCGAUUAGCUAGUUGGCGGGGUAAUGGCCCACCAAGGCGACGAUCGGUAGCUGGUCUGAGAGGAUGAUCAGCCACACUGGAACUGAGACACGGUCCAGACUCCUACGGGAGGCAGCAGUGGGGAAUAUUGGACAAUGGGCGCAAGCCUGAUCCAGCCAUACCGCGUGGGUGAAGAAGGCCUUCGGGUUGUAAAGCCCUUUUGUUGGGAAAGAAAUCCUGUCGAUUAAUACUCGGUGGGGAUGACGGUACCCAAAGAAUAAGCACCGGCUAACUUCGUG
rnacentral:rRNA from 1 species